rnacentral:lncRNA from 1 species
CCAUAGUCACCAAGUGGGCCCAGCCCAGGUUUUGGCAGUCAAAGUCUCCGGUCCCAGGAGCCUCCUUAUUCCUAGCAAACUGGGAUGGUUGGUCAUCCCACAUCACCUCUGAGAAGACAGCAGUGAGGCCCCACUUUCACUCACUUAUGCAGUUGCUUAGUAUGCACAGUACUGAGUUGAACAUACUCCCUCCCUCCCUCUCUUCCUCCCUCCUUCUGUCUUCCCCUCCUUCUCUCCUUCCUUCCUUCUCUUAUUUUGUUUAUUUAGCUUAGAUUCUGCUCAUCCCCUCUCCCCCUUCAUUUGCUGACCAGCAGCACACACAUCUGCAACAGCAGAAACUGUGGCCAGCUAUUAAGGG